AUCCUUUUGUAAGUCAUAAGUGUGAUAAUUGAUGUUCAUGCUGUUUGUGACAUGUGCCUCCUUCAAACCUUGUAACAACUGCAGUGUAUUGUCCAUCUCAUG